UCUCUCAAACUUCUGGAGUACACACAUCUUUAACACAGAGAAGAUGAGAAAGAAAGGUUUUUUUGAGGCUGAUCUUUUUAGGCUGUGGCAAAACAAAAAUACAUUUCCCUGAACAAAACAAAAUUUUUUCUUCUUGAAGAAUGAAGAUGGAUGUAUUCCAGCUUCACCAAUCAAGAACAGUUCUUCAUCAAAGUUCCUUUGUAGAUCAGAAUGAGGAUGUCUUGGUGAUCUGAUGACCACAAAACAGACUGUAAUUGUCCACUCGCCUUCUCAUCUCUGACAGAUGCCCUCAGUCUCUAUGAGUUCCUCCUCCCAAGAGAACGUCAGUCAAUAUUAUCUUUGAGUCUCACAAGAGCUGAACAAUCUGUCAGGAUCAAAACAAGAGAGAGCAACUUUAGGGAUUGAACUCAGCUAGAAGAAAAAGAAUACAGGUCAGAAUGAGCAGGAACAUAUAAGAGAAAUGUUUGACUUGAAGAACACGAUGUGUUUUCCCAAAGAGUUUAAUGGCAGGAAGCUUCAAUCACAUUAUCAUUUCCUUUGCAGAGAAUGAGGAUGUCUUGGUGAUCUGAUGACCACAAAACAGACUGUAAUUGUCCACUUGACUUCUCAUCAUCUGACAGAUUCCCUCAGUCUCUAUGAGUUCCUCCUCCCAAGAGAACGUCAGUCAAUAUUAUCUUUGAGUCUCACAAGAACUGAACAAUCUGUCAGGAUCAAAACAAGAGAGAACACCUUUAGGGAUUGAGCUCAGCUAUAAGAAAAAGAAUACAGCAGGGACAUACUGUACAGUAUAAGAGAACAUUUGACUUGAAGAACACGAUGUGUUUUCCCAAAGAGUUUUACGGCAGGAAGCUUGAAUCACAUAAUCAUGUCAGCAUGAGGACGUCACUGGAAGAUCUGAAUUAUUGAUGUACUUGACAAUGAUGAUAAACUAUACAAUGUACUGAGACACAAUGAGAGCAGGGAUGUGAGUUCAGAAAAUGAUGCUGUUAAAUAUGUGACUCUAUUAGAAUUGUGAUAAGAUGUUAUGUAUAUACUAUUAAAAGUUUUAUACACUUGUGAAAAGGAAAAUUAUUUCUAUUAACUAAAUCAAAUUAACUUAAACAGUUUUGUUUCACAGUUUUUCUUAUUUUAUGAUAAUUGUCACAUGCAUAGUACUGUAUAUUUACAUCAACUGAAUAAGAAAUAAAUAAUUUUGUUAACAGCUAA